UACGGAGGGUGCAAGCGUUAUCCGGAUUCACUGGGGUUAAAGGGUGCGUAGGUGGGCAAGUAAGUCAGUGGUGAAAUCUCCGUGCUUAACCCGGAAACUGCCAUUGAUACUAUUUGUCUUGAAUACUGUGGAGGUCAGCGGAAUAUGUCAUGUAGCGGUGAAAUGCUUAGAUAUGACAUAGAACACCAAUUGCGAAGGCAGCUGGCUACACAAAUAUUGACACUGAGGCACGAAAGCGUGGGGAUCAAACAGG
rnacentral:rRNA from 1 species